UACGGAGGGUGCAAACGUCGCUCGGAAUCAUUGGGCGUAAAGCGCACGUAGGCGGCCUGAUAAGUCGGGGGUGAAAGCCCUGGGCUCAACCCAGGAAGUGCACUCGAAACUGUCAGGCUUGAAUAUGGAAGAGGGUCGCGGAAUUCCCGGUGUAGAGGUGAAAUUCGUAGAUAUCGGGAGGAACACCAGUGGCGAAGGCGGCGACCUGGGCCAAUAUUGACGCUGAGGUGCGAAAGCGUGGGGAGCAAACAGG
rnacentral:rRNA from 1 species